ACAAAUCGUGUUUAUGCAAUCCUAACCUUAUCUAAAUCCAGCAUGACAACCACCAUUUGUACCACCACACAGGGCGCAUCGAAUCGGAACACGACCGAAAAACCACCUACAACAAACAAGACAUCGAAAUAAACAAAUAACGACACAAAAUAGGAAACACCAGCACCAAACAACUAUAGAGACAUUAUUAAACAAACUGAAUGGCAUUGCCCAACACCCACAUCAAACAAUGCAUCGAUGCCCCCCAGGGCACAUCCCAACUAGCAAAAAUGAGGGCGCUUCAAGGCUGGCAGAUCAGAGGUCGUGAGUUCGAUUCCUGAAAAGCUCUUGGAAGGCAGAUAUUCUCCUGAAAGUCAGGAUUUAUCUUGGAAGGCGGGAGCUCUACUGGAAGGCAAUGUGCAAAGAUGGGAAACGACUUGUUUGGCAUUUUGGCAGAUCAGUUGGGGGGCUCUUGAGCACUAGUCAGUUUAGGGCACAACCUGCGGUUUAACCUGUCUGCAGCUUGAGGGGCCAAGGUGUAAACUCCAAGAUUUAGUCACUGUAAUGUAGAUAUCUGGAUAUAAAUAAAAUAAAAAAAAAACAAUGCAUCCAUCGGCAUUAUCUCAAAAUACCACACCGAGAUUACCACACCACCACUGUCUAUUCAUCUUACAGCAUCAAUCACCACUACCAACAACAAUCACCUAAAUCCCCAAUUACUACCCCCACCUUUACCUCAAAUUAACAACAAUCACCCUCGCCGAAUUGAAACCCACGAUAUGCAGCCACAUUAUAAUUUCACACUGCCAUCUCUAUUGCUGACUCUUUGCCUAAAUCUCCCACCUUCGUUGUUAGCUCUGUUCCCAUCAAGGCUAUAAUUUUUGGGUAGUGAUGCCAAACCUAGCUGAACCAAACCAACCUCAAAC
rnacentral:lncRNA from 1 species